UACGGAGGGUGCAAGCGUUGCUCGGAAUUAUUGGGCGUAAAGGGUAGGUAGGUGGUCUCAUUUGUCAGGGGUGAAAGCCUUGGGCUCAACCCAAGAAGUGCCCCUGAAACGGUGAGACUAGAGUCCUAGAGAGGUGAGUGGAAUUCCCGGCGUAGCGGUGAAAUGCGUAGAGAUCGGGAGGAACACCAGAGGCGAAGGCGGCUCACUGGAUAGGCACUGACACUCAACUACGAAAGCGUGGGGAGCAAACAGG
rnacentral:rRNA from 1 species